AUACGGAGGAUCCGAGCGUUAUCCGGAUUUAUUGGGUUUAAAGGGUGCGCAGGCGGCCAUUUAAGUCAGCGGUUAAAUCGUGGGGCUCAACCCCAUUCUGCCGUUGAUACUGGGUGGCUUGAUUGCGGUCGAGGUUGGCGGACUUCGUUGUGUAGCGGUGAAAUGCAUAGAUAUGACGAAGAACACCGAUUGCGUAGGCAGCUGACCAGACCGCAAAUGACGCUCAUGCACGAAAGUGCGGGGAUCGAACAGGAUUAGAUACCCUGGUAGUCCGCACAGUAAACGAUGAAUACUUGCUUUCGGCGAUAUAAUGUCGGAGGCAAAGCGAAAGCGAUAAGUAUUCCACCUGGGGAGUACGCCGGCAACGGUGAAACUCAAAUGAAUUGGCGGGG
rnacentral:rRNA from 1 species